rnacentral:rRNA from 1 species
AACGAACGCUGGCGGCAGGCUUAACACAUGCAAGUCGAGCGCCCCGCAAGGGGAGCGGCAGACGGGUGAGUAACGCGUGGGAACGUACCCUUUGCUACGGAAUAGCUCCGGGAAACUGGAAUUAAUACCGUAUGUGCCCUACGGGGGAAAGAUUUAUCGGCAAAGGAUCGGCCCGCGUUGGAUUAGCUAGUUGGUGGGGUAAUGGCCUACCAAGGCGACGAUCCAUUGCUGGUCUGAGAGGAUGAUCAGCCACAUUGGGACUGAGAGACGACCCAAACUCCGACGGGAGGCAGCAGUGGGGAAUAUUGGACAAUGGGCGCAAGCCUGAUCCAGCCAUGCCGCGUGAGUGAUGAAGGCCUUAGGGUUGUAAAGCUCUUUCACCGGAGAAGAUAAUGACGGUAUCCGGAGAAGAAGCCCCGGCUAACUUCGUGCCAGCCGCCGCCGUAACAC